UACAGAGGUCCCGAGCGUUGUUCGGAUUCACUGGGCGUAAAGGGUGCGUAGGUGGUGAGGUAAGUCGGAUGUGAAAUCUCCGGGCUCAACCCGGAAAUGGCAUUGGAAACUACCUUGCUGGAGGAUUUGAGGGGGGAUUGGAAUACUUGGUGUAGCAGUGAAAUGCGCAGAUAUCGGGAGGAACACCAGUAGCGAAGGCGACACUCUGGGCCGGUACUGACGCUGAGGAGCGAAAGCGUGGGGAGCAAACAGG
rnacentral:rRNA from 1 species